rnacentral:rRNA from 1 species
GACGAACGCUGGCGGCGUGCUUAACACAUGCAAGUCGAACGGGUCUGCCCUGUUUUUUGCGGGGUGGGUCAGUGGCGAACGGGUGAGUAACACGUGAGUAACCUGCCCCUCACUUCUGGAUAACCGCUUGAAAGGGUGGCUAAUACGGGGUGUUCUGGCUGUGCCGCAUGGUGCGGCUGGGAAAGAUUCACUUUUGUGGUGUUUUGGUGGGGGAAGGGCUCGCGGCCUAUCAGCUUGUUGGUGGGGUGAUGGCCUGCCAAGGCUUUGACGGGUAGCCGGCCUGAGAGGGUGGGCGGUCACACUGGGACUGAGAUACGGCCCAGACUCCGGCGGGAGGCAGCAGUGGGGGGUAUUGCACAAUGGGCGGAAGCCUGAUGCAGCGACGUCGCGUGAGGGAUGGAGGCCUGCGGGUUGUGAACCUCUUUCGCCGGUGAAGAAGGUCCUGCUCUUUGUGGUGGGGUUGACGGUAGCCGGGUUAUGAAGCGCCGGCUAACUACGUG